ACUGGUGCUCUUGUGUUUGACUGUGGUGGCCUCAGCUUUGUUCUGUUUGUGCUGCAGAUACUGAGCUUUCUGCCUCCAAACCUGCACAAGAAGAGAGCAUACAGGAAAAACCAGGAAUUUGGUGACCCGCCAAAGCACCAACGACCCAUCGUUGCCUUGAUGGUGGUGUGGAGGGACGGGUGUGCCCAUGGCAUACAUUGGACCAACAGCGCUAUGUGUGUACGAAUCGUCUAUAACAAGUUCACCAGCCUCCAGUUCACCCCCAGAUGACGAGCUAUCAUCUCCCAUGCCGCCUCCAUAAUGCCCUAUAUGACAGAGACCACAGAAAUGAAUAUUAAUCUGAAUAAUUUAGGCUGGCAUGUGGUGUGGUACAUUAGGACCACAGGUGCACUAAUGAUAUCUGUAAUAUAUAACAACAAUAUCUGUACCAAUUAACCUCCUUAAUACUGGCUUCACUUACUACUUACACAAUAAAGAAUACUGAAAUAA